UUUCAGGCCAUGCUCAAAAGUCACAGCUUGUGCUUUCAGCUUACAGCCUGCUUAUGAUCUUCCUUUCCUGACUGCUGUUCCCAAAGCCACAGCAAACAGGAAGAAGCUAGAAGACUUUUGAGGAGCAUGGUAGAGAAAGCCUAAAGAGUCUUGAGCAAAGUGGUGCAAACUCCAUUUCUUCGCCCAUCCCCGCCCCCGCUUCUGGUAAGACUGAGAACUGGAGCAGAAGGAGGAGGGAACGUGUUUUCGGCUGACUUCAUCUUCUGCUGCUUCGUUAGAGUUCCUGUCUGGCCUGAGUAUGAUCAUCCCGACUCUGGACAGCAUGUGCACAUGAGGGCUGUAGGAAGGGCAUUCCAAGGGUAGAGAAAAACUUGACAGAUGCAAGGAAGUAUGAAAGCACAUGGCCUUUUUGGGAAGCAGCGAGGAGCUCAGUCUGACUGGAGAAGAUUCCAGUAAGAGAAAAGGGAGAGCUACCACUGUCAAAAUAGGCUGGAAGUGAUGGGCAGAGACUUGAAUGUCAGCCAAGAAGCUUGAACAUCCUUCCUAGGCAGGAAGGCAAUAUGGAGUUGCUGAAGAUGCUGUUUUCUGCUACUUCACUCAACCCUAAUCAAACCAAAUGCUUCAAAAAUCCCAACACUCAAAUGUGAACUCGUUGCUCAAAGAAACUGUCAAGUCCUCAAGACCAAAGUCUGGCCAGUUUGAGAUUAGGAUCCAUCCUCUCCAAAAGGAAGCUGUCUGGAUGCUUCUCCCUUCCUCCUGGUGAUUCUUCAAUUCAAAUCCCUUCCUUUCCCUACAUUCCCAGAAGUGAUGACACUGGCCACCUUAAUAAGCCCUUCUUGGUGACCACAGCUCUGAACUAUGAAUCCUGCCUUGAAUGAUUCUUAUUGCCAUAACCAGACUGAGGGUGGGCAGGGGCAGUGUGAGUUUAUUCUGUGCAUGUAACUGUAGGUUUUUGAUAUAUAUUCACAGCUUGUUUGCUUGCAUCUUUGCUGUCAUGAUCGCAUGUCAGCAGACAGAGUGGCCAUGACAAACAUAAGACAUGACCAUCAUCUAAUAUGAGAGUGACGUGUUCCUCACUAGUUGAAAGGCAAAAGCUUUACUUGGUGACAUAAUCAGUGGUUGUACCGAGGGACAUGAACCUACCCACUCCCUGGCUUGCACCCCUCUUGACCAGAGCCUUCCUUCUAUGAGACAGUUUGUGCUGGUGCAUCAGUGGCCAGGACUAGAGGCCAGCAGGGCCCCACAUUUAGGGCUUCAGACUUGGAAGUUCCUUGAAAAGAAAUAAAAAUGCA